rnacentral:ncRNA from 1 species
CAAAGGUUUGGUCCUAACUUUAUUAUCAACUUUAACUAAACUUACACAUGCAAGUAUCCGCACCCCCGUGAGAAUGCCCUCAACCCCCCGUCCGGGACUGAGGGGCUGGCAUCAGGCACGCUCCGCAGCCCAAGACGCCUUGCUUAGCCACACCCCCAAGGGAACCCAGCAGUGAUAAACAUUAAGCUAUAAGUGAAAACUUGACUUAGUAAAAGUAAAUACGGGCCGGUAAAACUCGUGCCAGCCACCGCGGUUAUACGAGAGACCCAAGUUGAUAGACACCGGCGUAAAGAGUGGUUAGGGCACAUUUAUAACUAAAGCCAAACACCACCAAAGCUGUUAUACGCACCCGAAGGUAUGAAGAACCACCACGAAAGUGACUUUAACACCCCCCCCUGAACCCACGAAAGCUACGUAACAAACUGGGAUUAGAUACCCCACUAUGCCUAGCCCUAAACAUCGAUAGCGCCCUACCCUGCUAUCCGCCCGGGAACUACGAGCAUCAGCUUGAAACCCAAAGGACUUGGCGGUGCUUUAGAUCCACCUAGAGGAGCCUGUUCUAGAACCGAUAACCCCCGUUCAACCUCACCCCCCCUUGUUUUCCCCGCCUAUAUACCGCCGUCGUCAGCUUACCCUGUGAAGGUCUUAUAGUAAGCAAAGUUGGCAAAACCCAAAACGUCAGGUCAAGGUGUAGCGCAUGGGGCGGAAAGAAAUGGGCUACAUUCCUUGCCACAAGGAACACGAAAGAUGUACUGAAACCAUACACCCGAAGGAGGAUUUAGCAGUAAGUGGAAAGUAGAGAGUUCCACUGAAAUCGGCCCUGAAGCGCGCACACACCGCCCGUCACUCUCCCCAAGCCCACCACACUGAAUAAUUAAUUAAUUCUUCCACCGCAAAGGGGAGGCAAGUCGUAACAUGGUAAGUGUACCGGAAGGUGUACUUGGUUAAAAC